AUGCUGUGCUUCAAGGUUCCCCGUAUGAUUGUGAACGUGGUUCAGAUCCUCCCCAUGCAGACUUUGAGGGAGGUGCAGAAGCCCACCCCAGGGUGCUUGCUCCAGCGGUCUUUCUGCUCAUGCCUGAUAGAGCCAGUAGCCAGAUCUCCUGAACUGCGGGAGCUGGUGGAGGUCAAUCUGGAAUUCCAGAAAAGACUCGAGAAGCUGCUGUACAGCGACCGCUUCUUCAGGGACGACUUCGCCGUUGUUCUCCAGCCCUUUCUGAAGCACGCUGACCCGCCCCGCCUCCCGGUAAUCCAUCUCACGCCUAUCAGUGUGACAUAAGUGUCUGCUUUCGGACCAGUUGGUGCAAAACAUCACGCGGUGAUGACUGACUCAUCAGGAUCCCCAGUGUGACAGCUGUAGCCUUUUGGCUGAGAGACUCACGAAUCAUGUUUCACCAACAAUGCUGUCCAUCACUAGAACUAUACCGCAGUGUAUUUUGUGUCUCUCUGAGCAGAACGGGAAGAUCGAUAUGACUUUCUUCACUCACGACUGCUUCCACUUUACCAUAAAGGGACAUGAGGAGCUGGCCAAGGGACUGUGGAACAACAUGGUGAACAAUAAGUUGUAUUUGAUUUAAAGGCACAAGAGGUUAAAGUUCAAUGAGUCAUUAUUGUAUAGGAUUCAUUUGGAAACAGACCACAGUGGGUUUUUAUAAAAGUCAAUAUGUGAUUGAAGUGCAGAUUUUCAAAUAUAAUUCAAGAGAUUUCACAAAAGUAUUCCAUUAACUGUUUAGGAAUAAUGCCCAUUUUUAUAUACCGACCCCCAUUUUUAGAGCCUCAAAAGUAAACGCACAAAUGAUUUACAAAUUUCAAGUCCUUAUGAGGCCUGUUGACCUGUUACGGGUGGCAAGUUAAACAGAGAGAAAAAUCUGGAGUUUAUUCAAAGUGUUGAACUUGCAUUUGGUAGCUGUUCCCUGCGACUGCACAUGGAAAUGUGAAGAAGCAAUUAUUGAGUUGAAAAAUGGAAAUCAGCCUACCAGAGAGAGGAAAACCAAAUCCACAAUCUGGUACUUAAGAAAAAAAAAAAAGAUAACAAAUUUACAUCAAGAAAGAAUAAUUUCCAUAAUUAAUAAAAACUCUUUCCAACAUCUAACCAAAUGAAGAAG
rnacentral:lncRNA from 1 species